GACGAACGCUGGCGGCGUGCCUAAUACAUGCAAGUAGAACGCUGAAGAGAGGAGCUUGCUCUUCUUGGAUGAGUUGCGAACGGGUGAGUAACGCGUAGGUAACCUGCCUUGUAGCGGGGGAUAACUAUUGGAAACGAUAGCUAAUACCGCAUAACAAUGGAUGACACAUGUCAUUUAUUUGAAAGGGGCAAUUGCUCCACUACAAGAUGGACCUGCGUUGUAUUAGCUAGUAGGUGAGGUAACGGCUCACCUAGGCGACGAUACAUAGCCGACCUGAGAGGGUGAACGGCCACACUGGGACUGAGACACGGCCCAGACUCCUACGGGAGGCAGCAGUAGGGAAUCUUCGGCAAUGGGGGCAACCCUGACCGAGCAACGCCGCGUGAGUGAAGAAGGUUUUCGGAUCGUAAAGCUCUGUUGUAAGUCAAGAACGAGUGUGAGAGUGGAAAGUUCACACUGUGACGGUAGCUUACCAGAAAGGGACGGCUAACUACGUG
rnacentral:rRNA from 1 species